GUGUCUGAUUUGAAAGUUCCUGAAUCCAGUUUGGAGAACGAUAUUGUUGACUGUGCAAGUUUCUGGAAUAAAGUUGAGUGUGAGAUGCUGGAAAAGGGGUUUGUGAAGGCAACAGCAAUCCAUAUGCUGUUAAUUAAUCCAGAGAAUACAUUUUGGGCUCCAUGGAUUGGACCACAAACUCGAAGUGGAAGCACUGUCAUAAACACAGAGUACAGAAAAUGUCCAUCUGCCAAGACCACUCACCGUGAUAAUGAUGAUUGACAAUGGUCUCAGAAGACAGACUUAUUGAUCUUCUCAACAAUAGCACUAGGGAAACAGUGAAGAAAGAGGUAGACAGGCAGGUGUAGAAGAUAGUGGAACAAAGAUCGAUUGUGUGCUCCGAUUAAGAAACAAAAUGAACAACAGAAUAGUCUAUGACAAGGUUUUUUCAAAGAUCUGGGGAGCUUCAGGUGGGUGGCUGUCAGCAACUUGUCCCCAUCAAGUCGUUUAUGCUUUAAAAUUUCUACUAAGAGCUGAAAGUCCUAGAGAUUAUAUUGACAUUCUACCGUCUCUGAAAUACCCUCCAACCAUCACCCUGAUUGAUAUGGCCCACAUGGUUGCUGCUCAUGCAAAUUCUCGUUGCCCAGGAAUGUUUCAACCACAUGAAGGCAGAGUGGCUGCAGCAACAGUCACUAAUGUUGAAGCUGCUUAUGAUCAUUCUUUGUCAGUACCCAUGCCAUGGCUGCAUGAGAACCGCAGUCUAAACAAAGAACAAAUCCAAGCUACUCAAGAACAUGACUAUAACAUGACUGUUCAUCCAAUCACUGGGGUAUCUGCUCGAUACCGUUUGUUUGACAAACUACAUGAGGGUAACACCAAGCAAGAGAUUGAAGUGCUGCGUAGAACAGAGCAUGUACCAGAGUUAAAUGGCAUUAUCAAUACUGAAUGUGAAGAGCAACUGCAUAAUGCAAUGGGGAGAGACAGAUAUUUCGUGAACAGCAUGAAUGCAGUGAGGCACAUAUUUUUAUUUAGAUCUAAUGUUGAUCAAAGGAAUACUCGUCUCAAUAUGGCUGCUACUGAACACUUGCGUCAAGCAUGACACUGCUCAACAGCUGUUGACAAUUUUGGAUGAGCUGUAGCUGCAGGCUCUUCCACCACAAUUGGUACUCAUUUAGGUAAUCCUCCUUUGGCAACGUCAUAUACAGCAAGAAACCAACAGACUUCACAAAAUAGUCUGAGUCAUCCAGGAAGUUCAGAUAAAGCUAAAGUUCAUGGAACUAAUAAAGACAUUGGAACACAAACAUCUGUUCAAGCAG